UUUCCAUAACAACGAGUUGUUUAUUUAUUUGCAAAAGUGCGAGAAUUGUAACGCGUAUGGAAAAAAUGGCUAGAAUCAGCGAUUUUAAAGAGGAAAACCAGGUUUUCGUGCCUGAAUUGAUCAUUCAAGAAGCUUCAGAAGCUAUAAAUAAAGUGGUGCCAGCAAAAUCUAAACAAUUAUACGAAAAAGAGUAUUCAAAUUUUUGUGAAUGGAGGAAGCGGAAGGAUGCAAAGGGAGUAGACGAGAGAAUAAUUUUGGCUUAUAUUUCUGAACGAUCCAAAAAUGCAAAAUCUUCGUCAUUGUGGGCGUAUUAUUCCCAACUGAAGAAAAUGUUAUCUGUUAAAGAAAAUAUCGAUAUGAGCAGAUUUCAUCAGGUAUCUGCUUUCUUAAAACAACACUCUGUAGGGCACAGACCAAAGAAAUCUAAAGCCUUCAGCUUCGAAGAAAUGGAAAAGUUUUUAGACACUGCUUCAGAUGAUGAAUAUUUGCUGCAAAAAGUGGUUCUAAUUGUGGGAGUUUUUGGAGGCUGUAGAAUUGGAGAAUUGUAACAUUUAUUUUAAAUAAAAGUAUUUGUUGGUA